rnacentral:rRNA from 1 species
GAUGAACGCUGGCGGCGUGCCUAAUACAUGCAAGUCGAGCGAACAGACGAGGAGCUUGCUCCUCUGACGUUAGCGGCGGACGGGUGAGUAACACGUGGAUAACCUACCUAUAAGACUGGGAUAACUUCGGGAAACCGGAGCUAAUACCGGAUAAUAUAUUGAACCGCAUGGUUCAAUAGUGAAAGACGGUUUUGCUGUCACUUAUGGAUGGAUCCGCGCCGCAUUAGCUAGUUGGUAAGGUAACGGCUUACCAAGGCAACGAUGCGUAGCCGACCUGAGAGGGUGAUCGGCCACACUGGAACUGAGACACGGUCCAGACUCCUACGGGAGGCAGCAGUAGGGAAUCUUCCGCAAUGGGCGAAAGCCUGACGGAGCAACGCCGCGUGAGUGAUGAAGGUCUUCGGAUCGUAAAACUCUGUUAUUAGGGAAGAACAAAUGUGAAAGUAACUAUGCACGUCUUGACGGUACCUAAUCAGAAAGCCACGGCUAACUACGUG